rnacentral:lncRNA from 1 species
UUAGGGACAAUGAUGUUCUCCAAUUGCCUCUGUUUGAUAUACACUGUAUGAAUCCAUUUCACCCAUAGAGCAUCCUUCUUGUGUGCCAAAUCCCAGCUGAGUUUAGAAAUAGCAGCCUUGUUCCACAGUAGUAAAUUAGUCAGAUUCAAACCACCGCAGACUUUGGCAUACAGAUUUCUCCCAAGCCACAUAUGCCUUCCUUGACACACUAAUUGAUCCUGACCAGAUGUAUGAUCUGCACAUUGCCUCAAGUAGUUUU